UGCACGGGAGCAACCCUGGUGGUAAGUGGCAGAACGGGUGAGUAUAUAUCGGAACGUGCCCAGAUCGCGGGGGAUAACGCAGCGAAAGCUGUGCUAAUACCGCACUACGAUCUACGGAUGAAAGCGGGGGAUCGCAAGACCUCGCGCGAUUGGAGCGGCCGAUAUCAGAUUAGCUAGUUGGUGGGGUAAAGGCCCACCAAAGGCGACGAUCUGUAGCUGGUCUGAGAGGACGACCAGCCACACUGGAACUGAGACACGGUCCAAACUCCUACGGGAGGCAGCAGUGGGGAAUUUUGGACAAUGGGCGCAAGCCUGAUCCAGCAAUGCCGCGUGCAGGAUGAAGGCCUUCGGGUUGUAAACUGCUUUUGUACGGAACGAAACGGUGAGCUCUAAUAAAGUUUGCUAAUGACGGUACCGUAAGAAUAAGCACCGGCUAACUACGUGCCAGCAGCCGCGGUAAUACGUAGGGUGCGAGCGUUAAUCGGAAUUACUGGGCGUAAAGCGUGCGCAGGCGGUUAUGUAAGACAGAUGUGAAAUCCCCGGGCUCAACCUGGGACCUGCAUUUGUGACUGCAUAGCUAAGAGUACGGUAGAGGGGGAUGGAAAUUCCCGCCGUGUAGCAGUGAAAUGCGGUAGAUAUGCCGGAGGAAACACGAUGGCGAAGGCAAUCCCCUGGACCUGUACUGACGGCUCCAUGCACGAAAGCGUUGGGGGCAGCCAAACCAGGGAUUCACAUACCCUGGCACUGUCCACAGCCCUAAACGAAUGUCAACUGGUUGGCUGGGCCUUCACGGACUCAGGAUACAGCAAACCAAGCGUAAAUUACCGCCUGCGAAGUAAGGCGAAGGUGAACUCAACGCAU
rnacentral:rRNA from 1 species